UACGAAGGGAGCGAGCGUUAUUCGGAAUAACUGGGCGUAAAGGGUUUGUAGACGGUAAAUUUUUAUUAAAGGUGAAAUAUGGAAGCUCAACUUUCAUAAGCUUUUAGAUUCAAUUUACUUGAGUUAGAGAGAGGAUAGCAGAAUUUUUCAAGUAGGGGUUAAAUCCAUAAAUAUGAAAAAGAAUACCAGAUGCGAAGGCGGCUAUCUAGCUCUAUACUGACGUUGAGGAACUAAAGCGUGGGGAGCAAACAGGAUUAGGUACCCUGGUAGUCCACGCCCUAAAAGAUGAGUGCUAUUGUUUAGAAGAAGAUUUUAGACAAACAGCUAACGCUUUAAGCACUUCGCCUGGGGAGUACGACCGCAAGGUUGGAACUCAAAGGAAUUGGCGGGGGCCUAUACAAGUGGUGGAGCAUGUUGUUUAAUGCGAAAAUACGCGCGAAACCUUACCAGUUCUUGACAUAAUUUUGUUUACAGUAAUCAACUGUGAAGAGAACUUUACAGGUGCUGCAUGGUUGUCGUCAGCUCGUGUCGUGAGAUGUUCGGUUCACUCCGUUUAACGGGCGAAACCCCUGUUUUUAUUUGCUAAUUGCAGAUGCAAAGUACUUUAAAAACACUGCUUGAAAAAGAGGAAGGCGGGGAUGACGUCAAAUCAUUAUGGCCCUUAUGAACUGGGCUACAAACGUGCUACAAUGGUAAAAACAAUAUGAAGCAAUAGGGUAACCUGGAGCAAAUCAUCAAAUUUUAUCUUUGUUCGGAUUGUGGGCUGUAACUCGCCCAUAUGAAGAUGGAAUCACUAGUAAUCGCAAAUCAGAAUGUUGCGGUGAAUUUGUACCUAGGCCU
rnacentral:rRNA from 1 species